UAGAAUCAUAGAAUGUCAGGGUUGGAAGGGAUCUCAGGAGGUCACCUAGACCAACCCCCUGCUUGAGGCAGAACUAAUCCCCAAUGCCAAUGCUCAAACCACU